rnacentral:rRNA from 1 species
AUUGAACGCUGGCGGCAUGCCUUACACAUGCAAGUCGAACGGUAACAGGUCUUCGGAUGCUGACGAGUGGCGAACGGGUGAGUAAUACAUCGGAACGUGCCCGAGAGUGGGGGAUAACGAGGCGAAAGCUUUGCUAAUACCGCAUACGAUCUCAGGAUGAAAGCAGGGGACCGCAAGGCCUUGCGCUCACGGAGCGGCCGAUGGCAGAUUAGGUAGUUGGUGGGAUAAAAGCUUACCAAGCCGACGAUCUGUAGCUGGUCUGAGAGGACGACCAGCCACGCUUGGACUGAGACACGGCCCAGACUCCUACGGGAGGCAGCAGUGGGGAAUUUUGGACAAUGGGCGCAAGCCUGAUCCAGCCAUGCCGCGUGCAGGAUGAAGGCCUUCGGGUUGUAAACUGCUUUUGUACGGAACGAAAAGACUCUGGUUAAUACCUGGGGUCCAUGACGGUACCGUAAGAAUAAGCACCGGCUAACUACGUGCCAGCCGCCGCGGUAACAC